GACGAACGCUGGCGGCGUGCUUAACACAUGCAAGUCGAACGGUAAGGCCCUUCGGGGUACACGAGUGGCGAACGGGUGAGUAACACGUGGGUGAUCUGCCCUGCACUCCGGGAUAAGCCUGGGAAACUGGGUCUAAUACCGGAUAGGACCACUGCCUGCAUGGGUGGUGGUGGAAAGCUUUUGCGGUGUGGGAUGGGCCCGCGGCCUAUCAGCUUGUUGGUGGGGUGAUGGCCUACCAAGGCGACGACGGGUAGCCGGCCUGAGAGGGUGACCGGCCACACUGGGACUGAGAUACGGCCCAGACUCCUACGGGAGGCAGCAGUGGGGAAUAUUGCACAAUGGGCGCAAGCCUGAUGCAGCGACGCCGCGUGAGGGAUGACGGCCUUCGGGUUGUAGACCUCUUUCAGCACCGACGAAGCGCAAGUGACGGUAGGUGCAGAAGAAGGACCGGCCAACUACGUGCCAGCAGCCGCCGUAA
rnacentral:rRNA from 1 species